GACGUAGGGCGCGAGCGUUGUCCGGAUUUAUUGGGCGUAAAGAGCUCGUAGGCGGCUUGUCGCGUCGUCCGUGAAAACUUGGGGCUCAACCCCAAGCUUGCGGUCGAUACGGGCAGGCUAGAGUUCGGUAGGGGAGACUGGAAUUCCUGGUGUAGCGGUGAAAUGCGUAGAUAUCUGGAGGAACACCGGUGGCGAAGGCGGCAUCCUGGACCGACACUGACGCUGAGGCGCGAAAGCGUGGGGAGCAAACAGG
rnacentral:rRNA from 1 species